GAGAGUCCCCAUGGCCCCAGCAGCAAGCCCCUGCCUCUCUCCUGUCCGGCUGCUGCCCCACUCUGAGGCCCAGGUUCUCUUCUCCCAAGAGCGAGUGCGUUGGUCUAAUUGGCAAAACAUUUGAAGAGCUCCUGCACUCACAGAGUGAAACCCCAGGAAACGGAGCCCGCGAGGGAUGCCAAGCUCUCCUAAUAACAACACCUUUGUUUAUUGUGGGAUGUGGGCUGCUGUUGUGAUGCAGGAUCCAGACCUCGAGUAACCCUGUGCGAUGGCAGGCCUUCACCCUGGGACUGGCCAAGGGCCCUAGCCCCUUCAUCAGAGGUCACCCAUGACUCUCCCGCCCUCAUCCGUUUCUGCACAUUCCUCGCCAUGCCCAUCUCCCUCCUGCCCAUCCCGGAGCCCACCGGACUGCACAGCCAGCAUCAGCACAGCCUGUCCUGCUGAGUGGGGCUGCCUGCAGUCCAUGGCACGAGAUAGAGGCAGAACCUGGAGGCAGGCCGAGGUCGCCGCUACUCCUGGCCACUUCCAGACCACCCUGCCACCAUCCUCCCUUCAGUCCACGGUCCAGACUUCCUGGAAGGCACCUUGCAGCCUUCGUUUGCCGAAUUGUGAGAUGCGUUUGCUCACCGGCCUCCUCCCGCUGAGCGUCCCUGGUGUCUGACCCACCUCUGUUUCCUUCUGUAUGCACAGGUGUUUGUUGCAUGACUGAACGACAUUGAGGAGGGGACACGGCUCAGUAGAAACUUCCUUUAAGAUGCAUACAAGCUGCGGCAAAGCAAAGUGUGUUUACAAGGAGUUCCUGUGUGGGCUGGGCAGGGGCAUCAGCUGCUCUUACUGGGGGAGGAUGGUAGUGAUGCAAACACAAGAGGUAGGGUUGGCAGCCGCACCCCUUGCAACUAUCAGGGCAGCCUUGGGGCUUUCACAGGCGUGGUGAGGACCUGUCCUUGCGUGUUUCCCUCUUACCAUGUUACCAUGGAAACACACCAUGCAUGGACCUUACCCUGCGGAUAUGCCCCCUACGUGGCAAAAGGGAUGUGCGGAUGUGAAGGACCAGGAGAUGUGUGACAAUCCUGGGGGACCCAGGUGGGUCCUAAAUGUCACUUCAAGGGUCCUUUUAAGAGGAAGGCAGGUGGCCAGGCUUAUGCCUAUAAUCCCAGCACUUUGGGAGACCGAGGUGAGAGGGUCACUUGAGGCCAAGGCCAGCCUGGGCAAAAUAGCAAGACCUCGUCUCUACAGAAAAAAAUUAAAAAUUAGCCGGGCAUAGUGGCGUGCCCCUGUAGUCUCAGCUACCCGGGAGGCUGAAGCAGGAGGAUCACCUGAGCCCAGGAGAUGGGGGCUGCAGUGAAGCAUGAUGGCACCACUGCACUCCAGCCCUGCAUUCAAGCGCGGGUGACAAAGCGAGACCCAAUCUCAAAAAAGAAAAAGAGAGGGAGGCAGGAGACAGGUGUGAGGAGGGGAAGGGCUGCGAGACAGAGGCUUCGAGGAAAGCAGAAGGUCUCCAGAAGCCUGCAGAGGCCAGGAGGGAGCCUCCCAUGGGGCCUCUGGGAGGAGCCUGCUCUGCCGACGCCUAGAUGGAGCCCCUAACUCUCCUUCUGGAUUUCUGACUCUGGAGCUGUGAGAAACGAACUUCUGUUGGUUGAAGUCACGGGUUGGUGGUUAGUUAUUACAACAGAAACAGGAAACCGGUAUGUCGGGUCGCUCCCAGCCUCAAGCCCCAGCUCUAUUUUCCCAUAAAAGCUAAGUUCUCACCAUGAGGUGCUCUAGCUGCCAGGGUGGAGGAGGGGGUGUCACCCCACACUGAUUUGUGGGCCCAGGGGUGAGGACACCUCACCUGCCACCCAGAACCGGGCCCACAUCUCCCGGCGAGGCCUCCGUGGCUGCAUUGCCGGCAAUGACUAGGUGUUUUAUGCUGAACGUUGAAGAUAUUUUCCACUGGAGAUUUAACACGGAACAUCAAGAACCAUUGAAAUCACUCAUAUCAAUUGAAGAUACAAUAAUUGAACCCCAUAAAGAUUACUGAGAAGCUGGUGGAGCUAUAAGGAGAGGCAUAAAUAGAGAUAAAUUGGGCCCCCUCCACCCCCCCAGCCUCCCCCUGGAAGGAGCUCAUUAGAGAUGCUCACGGGGCCACUCAGUGACAGAGACCCACAGCAGGGAGAGGGGGGCCGGGGGGUUCCCACCACAGAGGGGCCUGAGCAGAUCCAGAAGCUUCUGUGCAUCCGUUAAUGGUCUUGAUCGGGUCCUUGGUGAAAGCGUGGAGCGAAGGGACCCAGGGGAUGACAGCUCUGUUCUCCAGCGGCCUAGGCAUCUCCUUUCCUCUAAGGGCCGCACCCCGAGCCCUGAUCUGGGCCGCACACGGAGCCCCGAUCAUAGCCAUACACUGAGUCCUAACCCAGGUCAUAAUCCAAGCCUCAUCCUAGGCAAAGUCUAAGCCAUGAUUCUGGCCCCAAACUGAGCCCUGCUCUGGUCACAGUCUGAGCUCUGACCAAGGUCACAUACUGAAGGCGGACUGUGACUGGAGGCUGAGUCCUGAGCCCUGGUGUCUCAUCUCAGGCGGGUCCAAGCUCCAGGACUGUGGGUGCUCCCAGAUGUCCACCACAUCCGCUCACGCUGCCCUCUCUCUGAGCUUCUCACAGGCCGGGCCCUGGCUGGGCUCUGCAUAUGGAAAGAAAGGCCCCCUGUCCUCAGGGCAUUUGACUCCCCGCAGGGAGGCAACACCUGAACAGUGAUAUCAGCCAAGUACUGUGGAUGACGGGAGUCCCCAGCCCGGCUCUCCCUGCCCUCCCAUGCCCAGGCCUCCAGCUCUGACCCUGAGAGCCCUCCAGCCGCCGUCUCCGCCCUCUGCCAGGCAGAUCAGAGCACUGCUCCCACCUCUGAGCGGGGCCCCUGUCCUGGUCUGCUGUGUGUAGAGGCUGAGGUCGAACAGGCUGAGCACCGGGGGCCUGGGGUGCACUCCCUGAGUGGCAGGGCAGGGCCCCCUCCAUGGGGCCUCACUCCUGCUUGUCAUGGUUCAGAAGAGCUGAACGGGGAAGCAAAAGGCACAAAGUCAGCCUGUCUGGCUUUGCAAUCUUGGCCUCCCCUCGGCUGCAUGGCACAGAGAGGUUUCUUGCCAUCUCAGAGCUUGGCCUGCCUAGCUGCAAGGGGAUGAUGACGGCAUCUGACUCCUGGGCUGUGAGUGUCAUCGGAGGGGACCCAGGCAAUCACUGACAAGUUCCCGGGGCAUGAAGCCCUCAUGAAAGGGAACACAACCAUGAUCAGGUCCUAGGAGCGCCACACUGCCCUGGACUCCAGACCCGUGAUCCUCCCAUGCUGCCCCCAGGGUCUCUCAAGGGCCCACAGCCUCCCUGCCCUGCUCUGUGCCCCCUUCCUGGGCCCUCCCGCCUGUGGACCCUUCUCCGUGCUGUUCCCUCCUCCUCUCCCAGAUCAACUCUCUAUUUCCCGGCUCCCUGGGCACAGGUGUGAGGCUAGCAGCUGUGACUGUGCAGGGUGAACGGCUGAUGCCCCAGCCACCCUCCCAGGCUCGUAAAUCUGCCCUAUUUCCCUCAAGCCGAUACUCAGCCAGGCCGCCUGCACAAUCCAAUAUAUUUCAGUUACAAGCUGGUCUAUUACCUGAUUCAUAACCGAUCUGUCAACCUGAGAAAUCAAUGCAUCCGUGGGAUGCCACAUACAUAACACCUGGUGCAUAAUUGAAUUCAGGCUCCCUGGCAUCUCAGUGCAUGGCAGGUGCUGCUGGGAACCUCAGCCCCCUCCCCUGGGACAGGGGUAGGGGCAGGGAGAACGUGCCUCCUGGCUGCGGCACCGGGGUGCAGCUCCGGAAGGACGUCUGCAGUUCUAGGCGUGGCUGGGUGAUUCGGAUCCUGGGCAUCCUUGCCAUUCUGUCUCAACUCUAUUUGAAGAGACCUCAGAGCCUUUUCACCCAGCCUCCCACACCUGAGCAGUGGGCCCCCUCUCUGCCUGCACACUCACUGCCUCUGAGCGGCCCAGCCCCCACUCUCUGCCUGCACACUCACUGCCUCUGAGCGGCCCAGCCCCCACUCUCUGCCUGCACACUCACUGCCUCUGAGCGGCCCAGCCCAUUGCAGACAGUACAGACCCACAGAGCCAAAAGUGCUGCAUUUACCAGGCCCCUCCCUAAGAUAUCAAAAUGCCAGCUACUCAGAACCUUCGGGGGAAGGUAUUAUUGGCUCAUUGUAUAAAUGAGGAGUCUGAAGUCAAGGAAACGACCUUCCUAAGUUUGAACCACCAAGCUUGAUUUGAAACCAGAGUCAGAACCCAGACCCACGACCUCUCGUGCAUCUGAGAUGAAGCCCAAGGGGCUGCUCCAGGGUGGUCAGCAGGGGCGGGGCCAGGGUGGUCAGCAGGGGCGGGGCCAGGGGCGGGGACUCCACAAACAGGAGCUUUCGGGGUCUACAGGGUCUGCAUGUGCAGGGGGCGCUGUCUCCCUCUGGUUGGUGUAUUUGUGGGGCAGAAACUCAAGUGAUUGGGCAAGACCCUGCCCGUGUCCAGCUGCCACGUGGCCUUGGGAGGUCUCCUGUCCCCUCCAGUCCACAAGGUCAUCUGAGCUCCUGGUUCCUGUGGCUGGACAUCCUCGCUGACCUCACCUCUGGCGGAUUCAGAGAGGCCAGGAGGUGCAGGCUGGGUGCCCUUGGCAGCCAAACCUUUCUGGAAGCCCAGGGCUGACUUCAGCUGGGUGCCCUUGGCACCUGGACCUUCUAGAAGCCUGGGGGCUGACUCCAGCUGGGUGCCCUCGGCACCUGGACCUUUCUGGAAGCCUGGGGGCUGACUCCGGCACCAGACACAGCUGGGGCUCCCCUCCCUCAUCCCGCCUCGCACCCUGUCAUUGAUUCUCCUUUUCAUGAUCGUGGCACCCACGAUGGAAAUGGCAUCUCAGCUCCUGCAAGGAUCUAUACCCCAAAAUAGCAAAAUAAUUCCCAUGGUGCGAGAAUGCUUCAGACAGAGGCAUGCGGGCUGGGGUUAUUGGGGCCAUGUUUCCACAUGCACCUAAUGUAUGGACACAUCUAUUCCUGGGGCCGCCAAAUCAAUCCAUGUGGAAGCCUGGGGAGCUGUGCGUCUCCCAUGUGUCAGAGCGUGGAGGGAGCGCCGGGGGUGGGGGGCAGGGGCAGAGGCCCAGAUGCUGGGUCCACCAUGGAGGCUGCCAGGUGCUGAGGGGGGUCAUUAAAUACACCCCCCACACCCCUCACUUGUGUGAAGGUCAGAGGACAAAGGACGGACAAAGGCAUCUGGUCACCUCUAAAGGGCCACACAGAUGCCUCUCACCCUCACCCCACAUCACAAAUGAGAAACUGAGGCCCGGUCAGGAAGGCAUCAGGUGGACAGGGGCCAGGACCCCAUUGCUUCAGGCUCUGUGAGUGGCUCCCUCGUGCCAACACAUGCACACAUAUGCACACACAGAGACACACAUGGACACACACACGUGCACAGACAUAUGCACACACACACAAACACGCAUAUACACAGACAUAUGGAGACACAUGGACACACACACGUGAACACACAUGCACACACACAAACACGCAUAUACACAGACACACACGGAGACACAUGGACACACACACAGGCACAUAUGUGCACAGAGACACACAUGGACACACAGGUACACACAGACACCACAAUGCAGAUAUAUGCACAUGCGCAAGGAACACGUGCAUGCACACAUACACAUGCUCACACACAUAUGCACACACAUGCACACACAUGCUCACACAUGCUCACAUACAUAUGCACACACACAUGCUCACAUACAUAUACACACACACAUGCUCACACCGAAGCAAGACACACACAAACACACACAGGCACUUACACACCGGGAAGCACUUCUCAGGGGGUUGUGGCAUCUCUGCCUCUGGUGGCCUCUCCUGCAGGGGUCUCCACUUGGUGGUGUUGGGGGCCCCACCUGAGCCCUGGCGAGACCUCGCCUCCCCUCUCCCGGCUACAGGACAUGCCAGGGCAGGGUGUGGCUUGUUCACCGAAGCAAGCCCCAGGGUGGAUGCAGGGCUCAGGGAAGCCUCUCCCAAGGGAGCACAGGCAAGCGCCCUCAGUGGGGCACAGCUGGAGCAGCGCCUCCAUGGCCACAUGGCUCUGGGGUGAAGCCCGGCUCUUGGGCUGAAGGCCCCUGGUACCUGAGGGCCUCCCAUAUUCCCAUCUGGAAAGUGGGGUUGGCAAUGAUGCCCAUCUGCACAGCCAAGCCAGUCCAACACCUGGUGCCAAGCUGGCACCAGGCACACGGGCACACAGACCCCAGAGUGGACGGUGGGAUGUGAGGGGAAGGGGGAAGGACAGGUGACAGCAGAGGCAGGCUCUGAGCCAGAGUCAUGCAGGACGCACUGCCCAGCACUCCUUUCCCCGAGCCCUAAACAGACUCACAGAAGGUCUCAGCCAAAGGGGCUCUAGAGACCGGGGGGCCCAUCUCACAGAUGGGGAAACCAAGGCCCAGGGAGAAGAGGUUCAUUCAGGAAUACGCAGCAGAUCACAGACCCUCAGAACUCGACGGGCCUCCAGGCUGCUCCCUGCCAGAUGGGAACUCGCAGAGCAGCCACGAGACAGCGGAAGGGGCAGGGGCAGGGGCAGGGGCAGGGUCUGCCGUCUUCCUCUGGGACUCGCCCCAUCUUGAGCCGAACAGAUGAAACCGUUGACAGUGAAGCCUCGCCUGGGAGGACUUCAGCUCACAGCACGUGGGCCGGCCUGAAAGGGAGGACCCAGGGAAGGGGUGCUGGGAGGGCUGGGGACCCGGCAGCUCCUGGCCGGCAUCCUCUAUGAACUGCAGCAAUUCAUUAUCCUUCCUCCAGCUGAUGAGGAUGAUCAGGAGGACAAUUAGUCUUGGAAUUACCGCGGAGGAGACCGUUAAGAGAAAAAUAAAUUAAAAAGAAAUCCAUUCGAGGUGUAAUUGUAAUACAGUGUAUCAUAGUCAAUUGAAUCACAAAUACAAGCUGGUCCCUUGUCGAUUGAUUUCAGCAAGUAAACAAUUUGGGUAUCUAAAUUGGAAACUCGCCGGGAAAAGGAGCAAUGAUUUGGUUAAAGGGAGAACUGAAAACGUCAGGCCAAAAAUUGGUUCUAGGUGUCUGGCUGCUACAGGACUGUGCAGGUGACCCUAGAUGGGAGGGAGGUCACCAGCUCCUCCCUGCCUGCAGGUCAAGGUCACCCCAUCUGGAAGCUACCUAGACCCCAGCAAUGUUACCUGACCUGUGACACCUUUGUUCCUGUGUCCUCCUCUGUGCCGCCCAUGGUGAAUGUGGCUUCUCUGUCUACAUGGAUGCACUCCCACCACACUGGGAGCUUCUGGGGCACAGGAGUCCUGCUUUACUUCCUAUGUUGAGCCCAGGGACUGCCCAAGAUAAUGCCCAGUGCAGGAAUGUUUCCACCAGGGGUCACAGGAAUGGCUCUGCUGCCCUGGGGGCUGAGUUGGCCACCUGUCUGGUGCCACCAAGUUAACAAGCAAAGCAGCAUGAAGGCAGUGGCUGGGGAAUCAACCCUGAUUAUCAAGGAUAGGAGGCCUGAAGAACCACAUGAAGAGAGUGCCCACAACCCAGAGGAUCUCCUGGAUACAGCUGUGUUACCAUGAUGUCCAGUGGAAGACACCACAACCCCAUUCAGGAGGGACCUCCAAGCCUGAAAGCCUCAGAGUGAUGGUUUGACUCACACCACCAGUAAAAUAACUUCCAACAAGCUGAGCAAGAAGAAAAGGGGAAUUGUGGCAAAUUGCAUUUUCCGAAAAUGGUCACCUUACCACUAUUCCAUCAAGAGGUGGUGCUAUGGUUUGAAUGUGUCCCCCAAAGUUCAUGCGCUGAAAACUUUACGUAAACACAAAUGCAAUAGUGUUGAAUGGUGGGACCUUUCAACACUAUCGCAAGGGUGAUUAGGUGCUGAUGGCUCUGCCCUCAUGAAUGGAUUGUCAUUGUUGAGGGAGUGGGUUCCUGAUGAGAGAAUGGGUACAGCCUUUCCCUCUUUCUCACAUGUGCUCUUGUCCUUCUGCCAUAAGAUCAUGGAGCAAGAAGGCUCUUGAAAGAUGCCGGUCCCUGGACCUUGGACUUCCCAGCCUCCAGAACUGUAAGAAAUAAAUCUCUGUUCGAUAUGAAGUAUUCAGUCUUGGGUAUUUGGUUAUAGUAGCACAAGCAGACUAAGACAAGCAGAGUCUCCUUCCCCUCCUCUGGAACCUAGGGAGCUUGUGACUGCUCCAACCAAGAGAAUGUGAUGGAGGUGAUGCCAUGUGACUUCUGAGGAGAAGUCAUAAAAAGGAUGCAGUUUCUGCCUGGCUCACUCUCUUGAAAUGCUCCCCCAGGAGCCAGCUGCCAUCUUGUAAGGAAGCCCAAUCCACAUGGAGAGGAAAAGUGUGGGUGUUGGAUCCUCAGCCCCAGCUUAGGUCCCAGCAGACAGCCAGCAUCAACCAGGAAGCAUGUGACUGAGUGAGGCUUCAGGUGAUUCCAGCCCCAAGCCUUUGAGCCAAACCUGGGGGGCAGGAGGCUGGCAGGGUGAGUAAGACUAGGGAUAUGUAGGGCCAAAGGGAAGAGAGGACCCAUGUUCCUGCCCUGGUCCAGGCCCUGCAUUUUCAUUUUGCACUGGGACCCCCAAAUCCUGUGGCUGCUGCUGAGCGGAAGGGACUUCUCCAGUGAGCUCCCUCGGCAGAUCCAUGGCUCAGAGCUCAAGGGGCCCAGCAGUGUCCUGGGGCCCUAAGGCCAGCAGCCGGGAAGUUCCUGGGCAGUGGGUUCCCCAAGGCACGGUCCCCACAGCUCCCACAUGAGGAGGGUGCCAGGUCCAACCCUCCCACAGCAGCCUGAGCCUCCACGCCCUGCAAGCUUGUCCAUGUCACCCUCCCGGGCAGGAUUUGAGGCAGAGGUGUGUGAUCCAUGCUGUCUCCAUCGUACCAGAGACAGCCAGCAAGGAGGGCAGGAGAGAGAGGGCCACAGACUCCUGAGCCCUGGCCUGGCACAUGAUACCCACUGGACAGACACCUCUGGUCCACUGACUAUGCACCAACGUCAUGUUCUUUCCAUCACCUAUCAGGGGAACUUUCCCCAGAAGUUCAACAAUUCUGACCUUUGGGUUCCCAUAAAUUGUGUCCAGCCUGGGAACCAGAAGACCCAUUUUCAUUCGAGCUCUGCCAUGGAGGUGCUGUACGACUUUGGGGAAGCCCAGUCUCUCUCUGGGCCUUGGCCUCUCAAGAAGGAGGGGGCUAGUGAAGGUGCACAGACGCCCUCCCUCAGUGGCCUGCUGCCUCCCGAGGUGCUACCGUGGCACUGCCCUCCCGUCCACCCCUUCUCCUAUCCUGUCCUGUCCUGGCACCAGAUGGACACCUGCCAGGUGGGCCUGUCUGGCUGCGGCUGCUUGGCUGGGACAGCGGGCAGGGCUCUCAGCCUCCUGCUGCUCCAGACAGGGGACCUGAAGGUGACUGUGACCCUUCAGUCCUGAGUGGGGAGGCCGCGUCUGGCCAGGUGGUAGCAGCUGCUGCCAAGGCAGCACUGUCCUGGCUUCCCCUCCUGCUGGCUCUCAGACUGAACUCCUCACCCCAGAACACCUGCUCCCACCCAGGGCCCACCCCGGGGAAGUGCUGACGGGGCAGGGGCUCAGGGCAGCCAGUCACAGGGCUGCAUUCCACAGUGGGCUGACCUCCCACAUAGCCUCCAAGGUCACGCAGCUCACAGAGAGCGAAGGCAGAGCCCCCAGCCUGGUCCUCCCUCCCUGGCAGCCUGGCUCAGGCAUCUCCCUGCAGGCAAGCCCCUCCUCUCCCGGCUCCAUUUCCUCAUCUGUAAACUGUGCACGUGACCCCGGCCCACGGGCUGUCUCCCAGCUGCGUAGGAGACAAUUGGGUGGUGAGCACCUGGCCCCUCCACCAUCAAUUCUCGGCCUGCCCUGCCCCCAGAGCCUCCUCCCUCAGCCUCAUCAUGAGCCUCCCAGCAAAUGCGGCCUGCCUGGACUGAGUCUGGGCUCCUCAGCCUCUGGAGCCCUCACACCUGCAGCCAGGAGGUGCCAAAUCCAAUUUGCUCCCUGACACCUCCUCGGACAUCCUGGGGCCCGCCUGCUGCAGCAGCAAAUCUGAGAAGGUGGCAGCAGCUCGGGGGCGGACCGUCUGCCCAGCUCCCCUACCUAUCACUGAGCCCAGCAGUGCUGCCUCAGUGGUGUGUUUCUCAGGCCCCUGGGAAGAAAAUUGUUGAGAAAUAGCUUCACAGAAUCUCUAAAACCCUGAAGCACCAUGUGUGGUGCUGGCUUUGUGGGGGUUUCAGGCCUUGGCGGAGGGCGUGGGGCAGGGAGAGGCUGGGGCCAUCUCCUCCCUCUGCCUGAGCAGGAACCAGCAUCUGCAGACCUAGCUGGAUGCGCGUGGAAGGGGGCGCACUGUCUCCUGGGGGGGUCACAGACUCUGCCUGCCCUGCAGGGUCUGUUGUGGGCCCCCACCCUCAGUCCUUGGCUGAGGAGGGUGCUAGGGACGCCUCAGUGCUGGCCGCUGUGCUGACGCAGCCUGGGGCAGCUGGUGAGACGCUUUGCCCUCAGUGCACUGCCCACCUGGUGCCCUCUGUGCCACGGUGGGCGGAGCAGCCACUCUGCAUGGACCCUCCUGUUCUUGGGGGUCCUACUCCCUACUCCUGGGGGAACAGGUGCAGAGAAGAGGAGCCUGGGAUUGCCAUAGAGCAGGCUGUACCCUGCCAGGGACCCCCUUCAUGCCCCCAACGUGGAGCUGGGUGGCAAGCAGCAGAGAGGCCACAGCCUGGGAGCAGCCAGGGCCAAAGCCAGCCCUUUGCUUUCGGAGUGGGAAGCUGAGGUCUCAGGAGGGGCAAGGGCUUGUCCUAGGCCCUCAGGGAGGAAGACAAACGACCUCCGCCCAUCAAGGGCUCAGUGUGGCAUUCCAGGCCACUCAGGCAGCCUCCUCCUCGGGGAAGCCCCUCUUGGUGGGGGCUGGGACAGCCCCAGGCAAGGAGCAGUGCCCUGGCUCCACGCAGCACCAAGCCAGCUUCCCACCCCUCCACCACAGCAAAGCCCCCAGCAUGCCCCUCCCCAGCUGUGAGCACAGGUUCAUGUUCAUACACAAGCUCACACACAGCCACACUCACUCCCCAGCAAGCCCCAGCCUGCCGCCUGCAGUCCUGUUGGCCUCCAUUCCCAUCCACAUCCCACCCAGGCUUCAUCUCAGGGGUCCCUGACAGGUGAAGACAGGCACGUGGCUGGAUAAGCCACAGCGGUUUAUUCGGGUGCUCAGCUGGGGCCGACACAGGGGCGAGU
rnacentral:lncRNA from 1 species